rnacentral:lncRNA from 1 species
GUUCAAUGUUUUAUUUAUUUAGAUUUUUAUAAACAUGUUGAAUUGAAAAUAUAUUUUGAAUUAUUUAUUAAUUUAUAUAUGAUGUUUGGUGAUAGUUUCACUACAACAGAAUUAGAUUAUAGGAACACAUGUUUGAAACACUUUUGUGUAAGUGUUCCAUUUAUAUCAAAAUUUUAAAAAAUAUCUACUAAUUCAUAAAUAUAAAGCCCAAUCCAAUAAAAAAAAAAAAGUUCCUCUUCUUCCCUUACUCAAUCCACUGAAAAUCUAGACGAAGAGCCCUUCCCUCUCGUAAUCUUCCGCCACCGCAGCCAACGAGGAAGAAAGUAUUGGUAAAUUAGCAGUACUAUUUUUAGGUUAGCGACACUGUUUAAUUGUCACUAUAUACCUAGCGACCCCACAUAUAGCAACACUUUUUAAAAAUGUCGGUAAUUUAGCCAGCGACACUUUUUUUGACAUGUACUGAUAUUUAAAAGUGUCGCUAUAGGCCAUUUUUGUUGUAGUGAAAUUUGCAUUAUAAAAUAUAAGAAAUUUUUAUAAAAAUAACUGAUGAAUAUUGCGAUAUAUUUGAUUGAUCAACGA